rnacentral:rRNA from 1 species
UAAAGUGGCGCACGGGGUUAGUAACACGUGGAUAAUCUGCCUUCGGGCGAGAGAUAACGAGUCGAAAGACUCGCUAAUACCUCAUAAGACCACGGAGUCUUGGGACUCUGGGGUAAAAGAUGGGCCUCUAUUUAUAAGCUAUCACCGGGAGAUGAGUCCGCGCACCAUUAGCUUGUUGGUGAGGUAAUGGCUCACCAAGGCUAAGAUGGUUAGCUGGUCUGAGAGGACGAUCAGCAACACUGGAACUGAGACACGGUCCAGACUCC